rnacentral:rRNA from 1 species
GAUGAACGCUGGCGGCGUGCCUAAUACAUGCAAGUCGAGCGAACGGACGAGAAGCUUGUUUCUCUGAUGUUAGCGGCGGACGGGUGAGUAACACGUGGAUAACCUACCUAUAAGACUGGGAUAACUUCGGGAAACCGGAGCUAAUACCGGAUAAUAUCUUGAACCGCAUGGUUCAAAAGUGAAAGACGGUCUUGCUGUCACUUAUAGAUGUAUCCGCGCUGCAUUAGCUAGUUGGUAAGGUAACGGCUUACCAAGGCAACGAUGCAUAGCCGACCUGAGAGGGUGAUCGGCCACACUGGAACUGAGACACGGUCCAGACUCCUACGGGAGGCAGCAGUAGGGAAUCUUCGGCAAUGGGCGAAAGCCUGACGGAGCAACGCCGCGUGGGUGAUGAAGGUCUUCGGAUCGUAAAACUCUGUUAUUAGGGAAGAACAUAUGUGUAAGUAACUGUGCACAUCGUGACGGUACCUAAUCAGAAAGCCACGGCUAACUACGUG